CCCGGGGUGACCCGGCGGCGGCCAGAGAGGCCAUGAUGGAGGCCAUUCGGUCGGGCUCGGCCGUCGGGAACCUGAAGAAGGUCCCAAGGGGCUUUGCAGGAAAAGAAGAGAAGCGAAAAGUAAGGAUGAAUGAGAACGUUAGAUCGAUUCUAAUUGUUCUAUUGUUGUCUUUGGCGCUGUGAAUAGAUUACAGAUAAUCAAUAAUGUUGAUUUACGACAGCGAUGUCGGGGAACAUUGAUCUCCCCAACAUCGCUGUUCGGAAACAGGUGUAUUGAUAACGGGAGCGGCCUGCCUGUUUUAUAUGAGUUCUCUGCUCUUAUUCUCUCCCCCCUCGGGCAAAGAUCCCACUCGCCUAUCACAUCUUCCUGCCUCCCCGUGUAAUUCCUCCUAAACGCCUGGCAUCGUUUGAAGUAUAUUCACGUCUUCCGACUGAAAUCAUCAAAGGUGGCAAAGCCGAGGAAUUCAACUCGCGUUGUUUUUGUUUUGCUGUACAUCCCUUCAAUAGAGAGCCUCCCUUAGCCUCUUCGUUGCUAUAUCACUCUCCCGUCGAGGAGAAGUUCUCAUGGAUCAAUUGAGGUAUUCUUAUCACACAGUGCCUGUAUUGGGAGCACACUUCACUCAAAACUAUCAGUUACCAUGGACACCACAAGUUGAACAGUUGAACGCAUGUUGUCCAUCUUUGUUAUUAUUUAUUCCAAUCCAACUGUAAAGUCGGGGAACCAAACGGCAAACCGUUCUGUUAUUUUCAUCGAUUUGUUUCCUAGAUUGUGUCGGCCGACAUUGUUUGCGUUCAAUGUUUAAUGACGUUUCCCAUGACCCUGAGGCGCCCCUAUCGUAAUCAUUUACAUCUGUUUAACAGUUUUUAUUGUCAUCACGCGCGUGACCUCUGAUCAGGGAGAGAGACGAAAAAAACAACAACCAGACAAACAGAGAGACUUCGACCACAACAGCGUCAGAGAGCGAGAGAGACGUGAUCGCCGCUCCGGUGAAGACGGUGCAGGUGAACGGCCGCCUGGGGACGAUUCAGAGCCGAUCCCUGGCUCUCUCCCAGCAGUGAGCCCCUCCAAGAGUGCCUGCGGAGCACCAUAAGACGCAGGGGGGGCAUGUCGAAUCCCACAGGCUAACAACUCCCCUGCUGACCGUACCACAACGUUAAUCCCGUUUGCCACAACGCCUCGGGGUCCGUCUUCUGUCGAGAGCUCAUGGCAUGAUGUUUUAAAAGCACCUUUCUGUGCUUUACUGGAAGAGAAACACUGUAAAGUUCACCUACAGCUUCACGAACUGGGGCCAUAGACUGACACUGCCAAAAAGGGCAGCUUUAGUCAGAUUUCGCUUUUGAGGUUAUUUAAUUUUGUUUGUUGUUAUUUUUUUACAUUGAAAUCUUUUUGUUUUUCCGUUUGAUAUCGCUUUCUGUAAAAUACGAAGUUGAAAGUAGGGAGGCUACUGGCGAUCAAACCAUUUAGGACGUCACACGGUGAAGGGAUUUCUUAAGCUGGAUGCACGUCUUUAUAUAUUUAAUAUUAAUUGAUAUACAUUUAUGUAUGUGAUUGCAUACUUCUAGAUCGUUUGAACACAACGCUAUAAUUUAACUUGAUCUAUUUCUUUGUCAUGUCCUUAACACGAUAAAAAAAGAAUUACCCUAAAUUGUUUACCUUUCAAAAACAUCGCCUUGAUUUCAAAAUGAUCGUUGCAACUGAUGCCGGUAUAAUUUACAGAGCUUGUGCCAUAAUAUAUUUCUAAGUAUAUAUGUCAUAUUUUUUACAGAUUUCUUUUUUUCUUUACAUUAUAUUUUCAGUUUGAGAUUUUAGUACUAUUUGACCACUUAUGCCUUUCUAGAAGCUGUGGAUUGCCUUAUUCUGUUGGAAGGCAGAGUUAUGUGUUAAUGUUUGCUAUAAAUAUUCCUAAAGCAGUGCAAUAAUAAAAAAAAUAUUAUAUCAUAUUCAAUAUUUAAAUAUAUACAUACUAUAUAUAUAAUAUUUAAUAUUUCUAUAUGUAUAUAUAUUUAAUCUUUCUAUAAUAUAUAUAUAUAUAUAUAUAAUAUUUCAUAUAUAAUGUUUAUAUAUUUCGGCAAUAUUGCCCAUAUUGCCAAGUAGUUUUAGCCAAGUUCGAAGCACCUCUUUCCCCCUGCUGGUGACAUGCGUGGGCCUCCUAGCUUGUUCUGUUCCUCCGUUCACUGCUGAUGUUGAAGUUUUUUCAGUUGUAUUUUUUGCCUGUAGAAAACGUUUAUUAAUUGAUGACGAGCAAGAUUAUGAAUUCCUUCUCUCAGAAAUCACCUAUACAGAAGUUAGGAAGUCUUUCUCUGCAAUGAACGUGCUUGAAGCAAUGGCAUCAGUCAAUGUCACCACACGAUUGAUAUGUCAACUGAUUUUGUUGAAUGAAUCGCAUAUAUUUCAAAAAUAUAUAUUUUGUUGACUUUCACUUUUUUGAGGAACAAUUUAACAUAUGAGGGACAAAUCUUGCAGGACCUAUAUUCAGGUCUGUAAGUAUAAUCUGCCACUCGUGGUCAAAUAUUUCACUCGCUUGCAGUCCAUUCAAUUAUACCUCUAUUUUUAAAAAGUGUAAUUUAUUUUCAGUUUAGAAGAAAUACUGAACAAGAAAUACGUUAAUUUUUGUUUGAAGAUGUUUUGAUUCUAUUUUCUUUCCUUCUGUCAUCUAUUUACAUGCUACUGAUGCUGCAGCCUAAUCAUAGUCUUGUAUAUUUUGUAAAGUACAGAGAGAGAUAGAUUCAAGUGGUUCUUUGACUGAAUGAUGGUCUUUGGAUUUAGGCUGACAAUUCUUCCUGGUAAAACAAAAAUUGGCACAGCUUUUAUUUUUGUCUAUGGAAAUUAUAAUUCAAUAAAAAAGUUUUGUAAUCAACAAAAAAUGUCAAUUUAAUGAAAUCUUUUCCUGACCUUGCUGUAUUAUGCACCACUGUUCAGUUGUAUAAGUAGUUAUGAAUGUCUAUAAAUAUUCAGGGAACUAGUUUGAUUGAACUAGGUAAUCGUUAUACCAACGUGAUGCAAAACAGCUUUACUAGAUAUAAUUCACCCAAAUAUGUUGAUACUAAU
ensembl:lncRNA